AGGGCUAAUGGUGGAUGCCUAGACUAUAAGAGGCGAUGAAGGACGUACUAGACUGCGAUAAGUCUUGGGGAGCUGUCAAGAAGCAUUGAUCCAGGAAUUUCCGAAUGGGACAACCCAGUAUAAUGAGAAUUAUAUUAUCUAGAUUUAUCUAGAGGCGAACCGAGGGAAGUGAAACAUCUCAGUACCUCGAGGAAGAGAAAUCAAUUGAGAUUCUGUUAGUAGCGGCGAGCGAAAACGGAUUAGAGCGGUUAUAUUUAGCAUAUUAGUUAGUAGAAGUAGUUGGAAUGCUACGCGAUACAGAGUGAAAGCCUCGUAUACGAAAACUUUUAUGUGGAACUAAGAUAACGAACGAGUAGGUCGGAACACGUGACAUUUUGACUGAAUAUGGGGGGACCACCCUCCAACUCUAAAUACUACUUAUAGAUCGAUAGUGCACAAGUACCGUGAGGGAAAGGUGAAAAGUACCCCAGUGAGGGGAGUGAAAUAGAACCUGAAACCAUUAGCUUACAAUCAUUCGGAGCCCUAUGUCUUGUACAGGGUGACGGACUGCCUUUUGCAUAAUGAGCCUGCGAGUUGUGGUAUAUGGCAAGGUUAAGUCAAGUACGAAGCCGUAGCGAAAGCGAGUGUGAAUAGCGCGAAUUAGUCAUAUGCUGCAGACCCGAAACGAAGUGAUCUAUCCAUGAGCAGGUUGAAGCUGGUGUAAGAGCCAGUGGAGGACCGAACCGGUGUGCGUUGAAAAGUGCUCGGAUGACUUGUGGAUAGGGGUGAAAGGCCAAUCAAACUUCGUGAUAGCUGGUUCUCUCCGAAAUAUAUUUAGGUAUAGCGUCAUGUAAAUUAGUAUAAAGGGGUAGAGCACUGAAUGGGCUAGGGCUGCUUACCGCGGUACCAAACCCUAUCAAACUUCGAAUACUAUAUACUUUACCAUGGCAGUCAGGCGUAGGGUGAUAAAAUCCUAUGUCGAGAGGGGAACAACCCAGACUAUCAGCUAAGGUCCCUAAGUCGUACUUAAGUGGAAAACGAUGUGGAGUUACUGUGACAACCAGGAAGUUGGCUUAGAAGCAGCCAUCUUUUAAAGAAAGCGUAACAGCUCACUGGUCUAGUGAUUCUGCGCGGAAAAUAUAACGGGGCUAAAGUACGCACCGAAGCUAUAGAUUCGAAUUUAUUCGAGUGGUAGGAGAGCGUUCUAUUCAGCAUUGAAGCGAUACCGGUGAGGAGUCGUGGAGCGGAUAGAAGUGAGCAUGCAGGCAUGAGUAGCGAUAAUUAAAGUGAGAAUCUUUAACGCCGAAAACCCAAGGUUUCCUACGCGAUGCUCGUCAUCGUAGGGUUAGUCGGGUCCUAAGUCGAGUCCGAAAGGGGUAGACGAUGGCAAAUAGGUUAAUAUUCCUAUACUUAUGAUAGAGCGUGAUGUGGGGACGCAUAGAGUUAAUCGAGCUGGCUGAUGGAAUAGCUGGUCGAAGGAUGUAGGUUGUAGCACAGGCAAAUCCGUGCUACAUUCAACCGAGAUCUUACAGGCCGAACAAAAUCUUCGGAUAGCGUUUGGAAUCGAUGAUACUGUCGUGCCAAGAAAAGCCACUAAGCAUAUCUAUUAUAACCCGUACCGUAAACCGACACAGGUAGGUGGGAUGAGUAUUCUAAGGCGCGUGGAAGAACCCUGGUUAAGGAACUCUGCAAACUAGCACCGUAUCUUCGGUAUAAGGUGUGCCUACUUCUGUAUAGAGAUUUACUCUCGAAAGCGGAAGAGGUUGCAACAAAGAGUCCCUCCCGACUGUUUACCAAAAACACAGCACUUUGCUAACUCGCAAGAGGAUGUAUAAGGUGUGACGCCUGCCCGGUGCUCGAAGGUUAAUUGAUGAUGUCAGCGUAAGCGAAGCAUUUGAUCGAAGCCCGAGUAAACGGCGGCCGUAACUAUAACGGUCCUAAGGUAGCGAAAUUCCUUGUCGGUUAAAUACCGACCUGCAUGAAUGGCGUAACGAGAUGGGAGCUGUCUCAACCAGGGAUCCAGUGAAAUUGUAGUGGAGGUGAAAAUUCCUCCUACCCGCGGAAAGACGGAAAGACCCCGUGCACCUUUACUAUAGCUUUACACUGCUAUUGGGAUAUUCAUGUGCAGGAUAGGUGGGAGACUAUGAUCUAUGGACGCAAGUACAUAGGGAGUCAUCCUUGAGAUACCACCCUUGAAUAUUCUGAUAGCUAACUGGGAACAAUUAUCUUGUUUCAGGACAAUGUAUGGUGGGUAGUUUGACUGGGGCGGUCGCCUCCUAAAAAGUAACGGAGGCUUACAAAGGUUGGCUCAAUCCGGUUGGAAAUCGGAUGUUGAGUAUAAUGGCAUAAGCCAGCCUGACUGUGAGACAUACAUGUCGAGCAGAGACGAAAGUCGGUCAUAGUGAUCCGGUGGUUCUGUGUGGAAGGGCCAUCGCUCAAAGGAUAAAAGGUACGCCGGGGAUAACAGGCUGAUCUCCCCCAAGAGCUCACAUCGACGGGGAGGUUUGGCACCUCGAUGUCGGCUCAUCGCAUCCUGGGGCUGAAGCAGGUCCCAAGGGUAUGGCUGUUCGCCAUUUAAAGCGGUACGCGAGCUGGGUUCAGAACUGUCUCUUAUACACAUCUGACGCUG
rnacentral:rRNA from 1 species